rnacentral:sRNA from 1 species
UUUUUAAUUUAGUAUUAAAGUUAUAUAAUUUUAUAUUAAUGUUGUAACUAAAAAAAUUGGUAAUGAUAAAAUAAUAAAAUAAAUAUUUAACCAGUGUUAUAUUAGUCUAAACCCGUCCCGAAAUAUUUCAUAUCAAUCCAAAUCUGUCCGGUCUCAUGAUAUUUUUUUUAAAAUUUUAAAUAAUAAUAAUGUUUUAUAAAGUUAAAAAUAUAUCAACAAUAUUAAAAAAUAAUAAAAAAAAAUUACUUUAAUGUGAUGACAUUCUUUGUAAAUUCUUACUUUACUAACACAAAAGUACUAUAAAAAGGUACUUCAAAAAAUUUAAUAUAUAUAAUGCUAUUUUUUGUAAAACAACUAUUAUAUAUAAAUACGUAGUUUAAUCAUAAUUCUAGAUUGAUAUACUUGUGUUUUUUACUAACUUUAUUAUUAUUUCAAUAGCCUAAAUUUGGGCAUUUUGUUAAUAUUAUUUGAGUCAGCAAUAUUAGCUUAAUACGUGCACAGUUUAUUUUUGCUAGAAAAAAAAAAUUUUAAUAAAAAUCAGAAAAGAAAGUUUUAGGAAGUGAUAAUUAUUUUGUACAAUUGCAAAUUUAAAACAGAAAAUGUGGAUUGGGAAAUAAUUAGGGUUUCAAAUUUUUAAAAUGUUACGUAAUUAAAAAUUUUUAAUAAAAAUAUUGAAGCAUAUAUUGUAAUAUAAGAUUUGAUUCAUUUUAUUAACUGAAAAUAAAUAUUUAAAACAAAAAUUCAGGGUGAUUAAUGUUGGUGUCGGAUCCCGCACCAUGGAUUCGGAUCCAGCCAAAGAUUGCGGCACAAGUAGAAGAAGCCCAUAAGAGGGAGGGCCCAUAAGCAUCCUCGAGGUGAGAGUAUGGGCGAGAUGUUGGUUUGCGAGGUGAAGGCAGCAUCGAAGUCAGGAUUACUCGAAUUGGAGAAACCGAAUGGGCCGAGAGGUGAGGUCCAGAAGGCCCGGAGUGGACUCGGUUUAAACGUUCAAAUAGUUAAUUCAAAGACUAAAAACGGAUAUAUUUAAAGUAUAAUGAUUGUGAGUAAAUAGGUAUUAAAUGUAUUCUUUGGGUAUAAAUUGUGGGUCAAAGACCAUGUAAAGACACACGCAUUUCUUGGUGCAAAUUAGCUAUACACAUUCUUUUACAAUACUCAUAGUUUUCUCUAUGAUCAUUUAUCUAUUUUCUAGUAUAUUUGUCCUCAAGAAUAAUCCUACCCACUAAAUAAAUAAAUACUUGAGUGUGUGAAUCCGACAUUCACAUUUUGUCGCCGUCUGUGGGGACGGAUGAUUCUUGAGUCAUCAGCUUUUUUCUGUGUGUUACAUACCCGAAGUGAUCCGCAAUGUCAGGAGAGGAUACUACCAACGCUUCGAUAGCCGAAACCCUCAAGACCAUGCAACAAACUAUGGCCGAUAUGGCGCAGAAGUUUUCAAACGUGGAAAAAACUGUCGAAACACUGCAAACAACCCAGGUAUCGCUUAGCCAAAAUGUUAGUACUAUUUAGUCUCGUGUCCGUUCUUUAAAUACAGGAAAUUCUAGAGUUCGAAGAACUAUCUUCGGAUCCCCAAAUUCCCUUCCGCGAAAUGCAAAAAGUGAUCAAACGACCCCGGAGGGUACAAACGCGGAGAAUCAACCAGAAGACGGAGAAACGCAUCCCGAGGACGAUGACCAGUUCGGUGAUCAACACGAGCAGGAAAACUUCGACCAGCUCGAAACCAUGAAAGAAGUAAGUCGAGAGUUGAAAGAAAUGAGGUCGAAAUUCCACCAAGCUACAAGCUCGGAGCCGGAUAUCAACCGGGUUAUCGAGGAGGCUAGGCGAACACCGUUCACCCUGCGAAUUGCGAGUUUGAGAAUCAGAGAUUCUCGAAAACUCAACUUAGAACCAUAUAAUGGUUUGGAAGAUCCGAAAGGCUAUCUCGCAGCUUUUCUAAUAGCCGCUGGUCGAGUUGAUCUAAACGCAGGAUAUUAAAAACUUUUCUCUGAAAAUCUGUCUGGGCAAGCCCUGAUGUGGUUCACUUAGUUGGAACUAGGAUCGAUCAGUAAUUUCAACGAACUAUCGGCAGUAUUUUUAAAACAAUACUCAAUUCUGAUGGAUAAGAGCAUUUCGGAUACCGAUCUCUGGAAUUUGUCUCAAAGGCCGAAUGAGACACUUCGGGCUUUCAUCACCAAAUUUAAAACGUGCUUUCAAAGCUCCCAAGGAUCUCACAACAGUCGGCUCUGUCGGCUUUGCGAAAGGGAUUAUUGCAUUAUUUGAGGUUUAAGGAAGAUCUAAUACUUCACAAACGUGAUACUAUUCAAGACGCACUAUUUCGAGCGAAUAAUUGGAUGGAAGUCGAGGAUGAAAAAGAAAGUUUUGCAAAAAGAAAUAAGCAAGCAAAACCAGCGGUCACUUUUCCGCCCAAGAAGUUUGAACCCCGGGAAAAUCAGGGACCAAGGAAGUUUAGUUCACAACCAUUCAAUAACAACGUCGGAAAGCAGUUUCAGGGGAAAGGAAGGUCAAACACCUGGGUCUGAGAUGAAAGCUCGUAUUGCGAUAUACACAGAGUCACUGGACAUCUGACCAAAGACUGCAGUGUCCUGAAGAGGCAUCUCGCAGAAUUAUGGGCCAGCGGAGACCUUUCAAAAUUCAACAUGGAGAACUUCAUCAAGCAAUAUCAUGAGUCAAGGGAUAAUCCAGAGGCUCAAAACUCUAAAAGAUCAAGACCGGCUGGCGAAGAGGAACCAAGAGCUUCAAAGGAUAAAAUCAAUGUAAUUUUUGGAGGAUCUAAACUUUGCCGUGAUUCCAUCAGUGCAAUCAAGAAGCAUAGGCGCAAUGUUCAUUUGAAAUCAAGCUUAAGUGAAGAAGUAGACUUUCAGGGCACUUCGAUAUUGUUCGAAGAAAAGGAGACACAACAUCUCGAAAGACCUCACGAUGAUGCACUCUUAAUUACGUUGGAUGUAGCCAACUUCGAAGUGUCAAGGAUCCUCAUUGAUAUUGGCAGUUCGGUAGAUCUAAUUUUUCUUAGCACUUUGGAAAGAAUGGGGAUAAGCAGGGCAGCCGUGGUAGGACCUCCAUCACCCUUAGUGGCUUUUACAAGUGAAUCAGCAAUGUCUCUCGGAACUAUCAAGCUACCAGUUUUGGCUGGAAAGAUCUCGAAUAUUGUGGAUUUUGUCGUUUUCGAUAAACCAGCGGCCUAUAACAUCAUUCUUGGAACUCCAUGGAUUUAUCAAAUGAAAGCGGUCCCUUCUACUUAUCACCAAUGCCUCAAAUUCCUAACUUCGAGCGGAGUGGAAACAAUUCGGGGAGAUCAAGAAGCUUCGAGAACUUGUUAUUUAGCUGGCCACCGAUUAAAAAUUCAAUAGCAAUUAACGAAACCCGCAAAGAAAGGUGUGAUCCCGAGAUUUCCUAGCGGGCAGAAAGUAGAUGAUGUCGUGGUCGAAGUAAUUCUAGAAGCAGACAAACCAGAUCAAAAAAUUCGAAUUGGAGCUACUUUAUCGGGCAAAGUGAAGGAAGCCUUAGUUGAGCUGUUAAAAAGGAACAAGAAAUCAUUUGCUUGGUCGGCAGCAGAUAAGCCCGGCAUAGACCCAAAUAUAAUUUGUCACGAGCUAAACGUAGACCCGAGUUUCAAACCGGUAAAACAAAAAAGAAGAAAACUCGGAGCGGAGAGAGCAAAAGCAGUGAACGACGAAGUGGAUAAACUCCUAAAGAUUGGAUCUAUAAGGGAGGUACAAUAUCCGAAUUGGUUAGCAAACACCGUUGUGGUCAAAAAGAAGAAUGGAAAGGAUAGAGUGUGCAUUAACUUUACAGAUCUCAACAAAGCUUGUCCAAAAGAUAGUUUCCCACUUUCACACAUAGAUCGUCUUGUGGAAUCAACCGCCGGAAAUGAGUUGUUGUCCUUUAUGGAUGUCUUCUCGGGAUAUAACCAAAUCAUGAUGAAUCCGGAAGAUCAAGAGAAAACGUCAUUUAUCAAGAAUAGGGGCAUCUAUUGUUACAAAGUUAUGCCAUUGGGGUUGAAAAACGCAGGAGCAACUUAUCAACGGCUGGUCAACAAGAUGUUCAACGAAUAUCUCGGAAAAACAAUGGAAGUCUACAUCGAUGAUAUGCUAGUCAUAUCAUUAAAAAAGGAAGACAACGUAAAACAUCUGGAAGAAUGUUUCGCGAUUCUUAACCAAUAUCAGAUGAAGUUGAAUCCGGCGAAGUGCACGUUUGGAGUCCCAUCCGGGGAAUUUCUCGGCUACAUUGUCACGAAAGAGGAAUUGAGGCAAACCCAAAUCAAAUCAGCGCUUUUCUCAACAUGCCAUCUCCGAAGAAUUUCAAGGAAGUACAACGAUUCACCGGUCGAAUUGCAGCAUUGAAUCGUUUUAUUUCGAGAUCGACCGAUAAAUCUUUACCCUUCUAUCAAAUCUUAAAGGGUAACAAGGAAUUUCUUUGGGAUGAGAAGUGUGAGGAAGCGUUCGGACAGCUAAAGGCGUAUCUAACUUCUCCACCUGUAUUGUCCAAACCGGAAGUAGACGAAAAACUGUAUCUAUAUGUCUCAGUUUCGAACCAUGCGGUUAGCGGAGUCUUAAUCCGAGAAGACCGGGGAGAACAAAAACCAAUUUACUACAUAAGUAAAUCCAUGACGGGUCCUGAGACCAGGUAUACGAUGAUGGAGAAGCUUGCACUUGCAGUAGUAACCUCAGCUAGGAAACUUCGUCCAUAUUUUCAAUCCCAUCCAAUCGAAGUGUUAUCAAAUCAGCCACUUCGGACUAUUCUCCAUACCCCGAACCAGUCCGGUAGAUUAGCGAAAUGGGCGGUGGAGUUAAGUGAAUAUGAUAUAGAGUACAAGAACCGAGUCGCCAUGAAAGCUCAAGUCCUAGCCGAUUUUUUAACGGAAUUACCGGUACCCGGAGGGCAAGACCAGCCGCAAAAUCAGACUUGGAAGUUGCAUGUUGAUGGAUCGUCAUCAGAACAUGGAUCCGGGGUGGGAAUCAAGUUAGAAUCUCCCACUUCGGAAAUCCUUGAGUAGUCAUUUCGAUUGUUAUUCACCGCAUCUAGUAAUGAAGCAGAGUACGAAGCAUUAAUUGCUGGACUUAGGUUGGCACAAGGAGUUAGGGCCGAUGAAGUGGUCGCCUACUGUGAUUCCCAACUGGUUGUUAACCAGUUUAAUGGUGAUUAUGAAGCAAAAGACUCACGAAUGGAGGCAUAUCUUGAGGUGGUCAAAGACUUGGCUAGAAACUUUAGGAAAUUCGAACUCAUUCGCAUACCGCAGGGAGAAAACAAUACCGCAGAUGCACUCGCAGCCCUGACAUCAACAUCCGAUCAUGAAGUCAAAAGAAUCAUUCCAGUAGAGUGUAUUUCGGAAAGGAGUAUUAUGGACAAAAAGGAGACAUUCGUCAUCACAAGAUCCCGAGCUGCAGCCCGAGAUUGCGGCGAACCUGCUAUUGAAUUACCACCUAUCAAAAGGCGAAAGUCAAAAGAAACAACUGUACCUAAGCCUACUGUGCAGAAAGAUAUUGGGCUCGAACCAGUAGAAGAAAUCACUCCCGAUACCACAGUCGAAGCUGAAACCGAACCGUGGGUUGAAGAAGAUAUACUAGCGCCAAAUGAACAUCCUGAAUCAGAAGCUCGAGUAUUUCACGAAAUCGACCAAAUUCUGGCUAAAGAUUGGGGGGCUGAUUGGAGGGAGCCAAUAAAGCAUUACAUCGUUACAGGCGAGCUCCCAAAGAACAGAUGGCAAGCUAGGAAAAUGAGAAUCGUUAGCGCGAAAUUUUGUCUAUCAAAGAAUUCUUUGUAUAGACGAGGUGUAAGUGAUCCCUACUUACUUUGCAUUUUUGGGCCCGAAGUCGAGAUCGUUAUGAGCGAAGUACAUGAAGAUUUGUGUGGAAGUCAUUCCUCGGGAAGGGCAAUGGCUUUCAAGAUCAAGAGAAUGGGAUAUUACUGGCCUACUAUGAUCACAGACUACGUUAAGUAUGCUCAACGAUGCAAACGUUGCCAACUCCAUGCACCACUCAUUCACCAACCUUCGGAGUUAUUCUCUUCGAUCUCCGCCCCAUACCCUUUCAUGAGAUGGUCAAUGGAUAUCAUUGGACCGUUACAUAGGUCGACCCGAGGUGUACAAUAUUUACUGGUUCUAACUGAUUAUUUUUCGAAGUGGAUUGAAGCUGAAGCGUAUGUAAACAUUAAAGAUUCGGCGGUAAAGACUUUCAUUUGGAAGAACAUCAUAUGCAGGCAUGGCGUUCCAUACGAAAUAGUUACUGACAACGGACCACAAUUUAUCUCACACGAGUUUGAAGCAUUUUGCUCGGACUGGGGGAUUAAGGUUAGUUAUUCCACUCCGCGGUAUCCACAAGAGAACGGUCAAGCCGAAGCCGCAAACAAGACAAUUCUAAGCAAUCUUAAGAAACGUCUAAGUCAUUUGAAAAGGGGCUGGUAUGAUGAACUUCAGCCAGUCUUAUGGGCAUAUCGCACAACUCCUAGGCGCUCGACCGGAGAAACCUCGUUUCCAUUGGUGUACGGGAUGGAGGCAGUUGUACCAGCCGAGCUCAAUGUACCAGGACUUCGUCGAACGGAAGCUCCUUUAAAUGAAAACGAGAAUUCUGCAAUGCUCGACGAUUCGCUGGAUAUCAUCAACGAGAGGCGAGAUCAGGCCUUGAUCCGAAUUCAAAAUUAUCAACAUGCAGCAGCUCGGUAUUACAAUUCAAAAGUCAAAAGCAGACCUUUCUUUGUGGGCGUUUAUGUUUUGAAACGUGUGUUCGAUAACAAGAAAGAGGAAGGAGCAGGAAAACUUGGCAUUAAUUGGGAAGGUCCUUAUAUUGUUACCGAAGUGGUCCGAAAUGGUGUUUACAGAUUGAAAGAUUUAGAGGACAGAUGAUAAGUGUGUAUUUUGCAUGUCUUGAGCAUCCAUUUGUCAUCACUUUAGCAUCAUAUCAUCACUGUUUUAUACCAUUUCACAUCAUUUGUCAUCACUUUGCAUGUUUAAGAUAGUUUUGCAUGCAUGUUGCAUAUUUGCGUUGAUUUCAGGUGAUUUGGAGCUGUUGACGAGCUAUCUGGAAGAAGCAGACCUGAUCAUGACAAACCACUCGACCAAGAGGUCGAGUAGGAGCUUCAAGAUCUCAAGAGACCACUCGACAACCAGGUCGAGUAGAGCACAUCACCACUUCACCUCACCACUCGACCCCGAGGUCGAGUGCCAUCAUCUCCAUCACCAGACGGUCACUCGAUCACUUCACUCGACCUUGAGGUCGAGUGUCUUCACCUCCAUCAUCAGACAACCACUCGACCUCCUCACUCUACCUAGAGGUCGAGUAACUCCAUCACACCACUCGACUGCAUACUCGAUGACAAGCUUCAGAGCCUUCUUCAUUCCGCACUCAACCAGACACUCGAGCACAAGGAAGAAAAGAAGACUCCAGCUAUUCACUCGAGCUCUCACUCGACCACGUUGGUCGAGUACAGUUCUUAACCCGUCCAAAUACUUCGUCGUUUUGAGUAUUAGGGUUUCGGGAUAUUUGGCUAUAAGUAGCAUGUACUUCUCAUUUUCGCAGCAGGUGUUUUUUUACCUAGUUUUUAUUUCCGCAGACCUUGUGUUCUAGACUUUUUGUAAUCCGGAUUUCUCUUUAUCUAUUCAGUAUUCAAUAUUCAGUUUCUGUUCUUGAUUUUCGUUUACUGUUAUUCAUUCUGGUAUCAUACUGUUGUUAUCAUGUCUUCAACCUGUUCAACGUUUAUGCUUUCUGUCAUGAUGUCUGAGUAGUGAAUAGGUUUCUGAGGAUGGGUUAGAGUAGUGUAGAAUUCUCAGUAUGCUAGGUGAUUGAGUAUUGAUUGAUAGAUCCCUUCUGGAUUAGUUGUUCUUAAUGCCUAUUGCUUUCUGAUCAACUGGAAUUUGAGCCCAGACAUUUCCGCGCCCAAAAGGUGUUCGAUGAAAUGCCUGAACCACUAAUUCCAGAGAUUCGUGACCCUGUACCAAGGUAUUGGUUGCAGGGAGCGUUUUGGCUUUAACUUGUUGAUUCGUAAUGCCUGUUAGGUUAGCUCUCGUCAAUGGUGAUUGAGUCUGGGACUAGGUUAGCUUGAGAGUCUCUGUUGCGGUGGCACUUAGAUUUGGUUAACGAACUUGUUGUCUAGGGUUAAUUUGUUGAGCAUGUCAAUCACCUGUAAACUGAGGAAACGAAACUACUCAAUUACCCCAUCCUUAGGAAUUCUUUGUCUGAUUGAUUUUAUUGUUUACUCUACUACUGUUUACUGCAUCCUGUCACCUGUUGCUUAGUUUCUACAAUUCUUUACUGUUACUCGACCUGAUACUCGACCACCCAGUUGUCUGGCAACAGACUGUGCAGUCGAGUAUCUUUGUUUCAUUUUCUGUCUGUUACUCGACCUGUCACUCGACCUCACCCAGGGGUCUGCAAAGAGCUGUGUUGGUCGAGUGUUUUACUGUUUCUGUUUGAUUUUCUGUUUCCUGCUUGUUCACUUAGGAUUGCUAGAACACACCAAAACCUGUUAUUGCUUGGCUUGACUUAGUGACUUCUGAUCACAUCUUGAUUGUUAGCAUCACACCCAUUUGGAUUGACAACCUAAAAUACUACAACGACAUGAUUGGUGUUUUAGGAUAAUUGACUGAAAAACCUAUUAUCAAUUUGGCGCCGUUGCCAAUUGGGUGUUUGUUUGUUACAUUUGAGAUUUCAGACUUGCUUAGAUCAAGUUCUUUUUCAAUUUUCUUUUUAGUUACUAACUGUGUGUUUUUCUUGUUGUCUUCUUGAUCCAGGUACACCUCUACUGUAUGCGAACUCGAUCAACAGGCAACCAGAACCUCCUUUUCAACGACAAUAUCAACCGCAUAGCCCGCGAAAUCAGAAAAAGGAGAACCACAGUCAACCCUGUACCUCAGCAACCACUCGUUAUGGCUGAAGAACAGAAUCAGCAAAAUGGCCAUGCCAACAUUGGUGCUGGAGAUGCACCACGUGAUCACCGUCAGAGGAAGGGAAUCGCACCUCCUGCUAUCCAGAAUAACAACUUCGAGAUUAAGAGUGGUCUCAUCUCGAUGAUUCAGGGGAACAAAUUCCAUGGUUUGCCAAUGGAGGAUCCACUCGACCACCUUGAUGAAUUCGAUAGGCUCUGCAACCUAACGAAGAUCAAUGGUGUCAGUGAAGACGGAUUCAAGCUCCGUUUGUUCCCAUUUUCCUUGGGUGACAAAGCACAUAUCUGGGAGAAGAAUCUGCCCCAUGACUCAAUCACCACCUGGGAUGAUUGUAAGAAGGUUUUUCUGUCGAAGUUCUUCUCCAAUGCCAGAACUGCAAGACUCAGAAAUGAGAUUUCUGGUUUCUCACAGAAGACUGGUGAAAGCUUCUGUGAAGCAUGGGAGCGUUUCAAGGGUUACACCAACCAAUGCCCUCAUCAUGGCUUUACUAAAGCUUCUCUGCUCAGCACUCUUUACAGAGGAGUCCUACCACGCAUCAGAAUGCUUCUGAAUACCGCCAGCAAUGGGAAUUUUCAGAACAAGGAUGUUGAAGAAGGCUGGGAAUUGGUUGAGAACCUUGCUCAAUCAGAUGGAAAUUACAACGAAGACUGUGAUAGGACCGUCAGAGGAACAGCUGACUCUAAUGACAAACACAGGAAGGAGAUCAAAGCGCUGAAUGACAAGCUGGACAGGAUUCUUCUUAGCCAGCAGAAGCAUGUGCACUUCCUUGUUGAUGACGAGCAAUAUCAAGUCCAAGAUGGGGAGGGUAACCAGUUGGAAGAAGUAAGCUACAUCAACAACAACCAGGGUGGCUACAAAGGAUACAACAACUUCAAAACCAACAACCCCAACCUUUCCUACCGCAGCACCAACGUUGCUAACCCUCAGGAUCAGGUGUAUCCUCCACAGCAACAACAAAGUCAGAACAAACCUUUUGUUCCCUACAACCAAGGUUUCGUUCCUAAGCAGCAAUUCCAGGGAAAUUACCAGCAACCACCACCACCAGGGUUUGCACCUCAGCAAAGCCAAGGUCCUGCUGCUGCUGACGCUGAUAUGAAACAAAUGCUACAACAGCUACUUCACGGGCAAGCCUCUGGCUCCAUGGAGAUGGCAAAAAAGAUAUCUGAGUUACAUAACAAGCUGGACUGUAGCUACAAUGAUCUCAAUGUCAAGAUGGAAACACUGAAUACCAAAGUCCGUUACUUAGAGGGACAUUCUGCAUCUUCUUCAGCUCCAAAACAGACAAGCCAACUACCAGGCAAAGCAGUUCAGAAUCCAAAAGAAUAUGCUCAUGCUAUCACCUUGCGUAGUGGAAAAGCACUUCCAACUAGGGAGGAACCCAACACGGUCACUGAGGACAGUGAAGAUCAAGAUGGGGAGGAUUUAAGUCUCGAGAAAGAUCAAGCUGACAAACCACCCGACCAGCCACUCGAGCAACCACUCGACAGCAUUACUCGACCGACCACUCGACCUGUCAUCCCAGCAGCAUCACCAACUGCUCCAAGGCCAGUUGCUGUCAAAAACAAAGAAAAGGUCUUUGUCCCUCCUCCCUACAAACCGCAGCUUCCAUUCCUGGCCGUCACAAGAAAGCGUUGGCAGACAAAUAUAGAGCUAUGUUUGCCAAGAACAUUAAGGAGGUUGAGUUGCGGAUACCUCUUGUUGACGCCCUAGCGCUAAUCCCAGACUCUCACAAGUUUCUGAAAGACUUGAUUGUGGAGAGAAUUCAAGAAGUGCAAGGGAUGGUGGUAUUGAGUCAUGAAUGCAGCGCUAUCAUACAGAAGAAGAUCAUUCCUAAGAAGCUUAGUGAUCCUGGUUCGUUCACUCUACCGUGCUCUUUAGGUCCAUUGGCUUUCAACAGAUGCCUAUGCGAUUUAGGAGCAUCAGUCAGUCUCAUGCCGCUAUCUGUCGCCAAAAGAUUGGGGUUCACUCAAUACAAGUCCUGCAAUAUAUCCCUCAUCCUAGCUGACAGAUCAGUAAGGAUUCCUCAUGGUUUGCUCGAAAACCUCCCAAUCAGGAUCGGUGCUGUGGAGAUACCAACUGACUUUGUAGUCCUGGAGAUGGAUGAAGAGCCCAAGGACCCGUUGAUUCUAGGGAGACAUUUCUUAGCCACUGCAGGAGCUAUGAUUGAUGUCAAGAAAGGGAAGAUUGAUCUGAACCUUGGCAAAGACUUUAGAAUGACCUUUGAUGUCAAAGACGCGAUGAAGAAGCCUACCAUAGAAGGGCAACUCUUUUGGAUCGAAGAAAUGGAUCAGUUAGCUGAUGAGUUACUGGAAGAGCUGGCAGAAGAAGAUCAUCUUAACAGUGCUUUAACCAAAAGUGGUGAAGAUGGGUUUCUGCAUUUGGAAACAUUGGGAUACCAGAAGCUGUUAGACUCCCAUAAAGCGAUGGAAGAAUCGGAACCCUUUGAGGAAUUGAAUGGACCAGCAACAGAGGUAAUGGUAAUAAGCGAAGAAGGGUCAACUCGAGUUCAACCUGCACUCUCGAGGACGUACUCAAGCAACCACUCGACCUUGUCUACCGACGAACCUAGGGAGCCGAUCAUUCCAACUUCAGAUGACUGGUCUGAACUUAAGGCACCAAAGGUUGAUCUCAAACCGCUUCCAAAAGGUCUAAGGUACGCGUUCCUUGGUCCAAACUCUACUUACCCUGUGAUCAUUAAUGCUGAGUUAAAUAGUGAUGAAGUGAACCUGCUAUUAUCUGAGCUUAGAAAGUAUAGGAGAGCAAUUGGUUAUUCGUUAUCCGACAUUAAGGGAAUUUCACCUAGUUUAUGCAACCAUAGGAUCCAUCUUGAAAACGAAUCCUAUUCCAGCAUUGAACCACAGAGGAGGUUAAAUCCCAAUUUGAAAGAAGUAGUGAAAAAAGAAAUUUUGAAACUGCUUGAUGCUGGUGUCAUCUACCCUAUCUCUGAUAGUACUUGGGUUUCUCCAGUGCAUUGCGUCCCUAAAAAGGGUGGAAUGACUGUUGUCAAAAAUGAAAAAGAUGAACUGAUCCCUACUAGAACUAUAACUGGUCAUAGAAUGUGCAUAGAUUAUAGGAAGUUGAACGCUGCAUCUAGGAAAGAUCAUUUUCCUUUACCAUUCAUUGACCAAAUGCUUGAACGUUUGGCUAAUCAUCCAUAUUAUUGCUUUCUUGAUGGAUACAGUGGUUUCUUUCAAAUACCAAUUCACCCUAAUGAUCAAGAAAAAACCACUUUCACGUGUCCUUAUGGAACUUUUGCCUAUAAAAGAAUGCCAUUUGGUUUAUGCAAUGCUCCUGCAACAUUUCAGAGGUGUAUGACCUCUAUAUUUUCAGACUUAAUCGAGGAGAUGGUGGAGGUUUUCAUGGACGAUUUUUCGGUCUAUGGCCCCUCUUUCUCCUCAUGUUUGUUGAAUCUUGGCAGGGUAUUGACUAGGUGCGAAGAGACGAAUCUUGUUCUCAAUUGGGAAAAGUGUCAUUUCAUGGUGAAGGAAGGCAUAGUAUUGGACCACAAGAUAUCAGAGAAGGGUAUAGAGGUUGACAAAGGAAAAGUUGAAGUGAUGAUGCAGCUGCAGCCACCAAAAACGGUGAAGGACAUCAGAAGCUUCCUUGGUCAUGCUGGAUUCUAUAGAAGAUUCAUUAAAGACUUCUCCAAGAUAGCCAGACCGUUAACCAGACUAUUGUGCAAGGAAACCGAAUUUGAAUUCGAUGAUGACUGCCUCAAAUCCUUUCAAACCAUCAAGGACGCUUUGGUAUCUGCUCCGGUUGUUCGAGCGCCUAAUUGGGAUUAUCCAUUUGAAAUCAUGUGUGAUGCAUCAGAUUACGCAGUAGGAGCUGUUCUAGGCCAGAAAAUAGACAAGAAGCUUCAUGUCAUAUAUUACGCCAGCCGAACGUUGGAUGACGCUCAGGGAAGAUAUGCAACAACUGAGAAGGAGCUUCUAGCUGUUGUAUUCGCAUUUGAGAAGUUCAGAAGCUAUUUGGUUGGAUCAAAGGUAACUGUCUACACAGACCAUGAGCUUUGAGGCAUCUGUAUGCCAAGAAGGAUACUAAACCAAGACUGUUAAGAUGGAUACUUUUAUUGCAAGAGUUUGACAUGGAGAUAGUAGAUAAGAAAGGCAUUGAAAAUGGCGCAGCGGACCAUCUGUCGAGGAUGAGAAUUGAAGAACCACUUCCGAUAGACGAUUCAAUGCCAGAAGAACAGCUCAUGGUUGUAGAGUUCUUCGGAAAAAGCUACAGUGGGAAAGAGUUCCACCAACUGAGUGCUGUUGAAGGAGAAUCUCCAUGGUAUGCUGAUCACGUCAAUUACUUGGCAUGCGGGGUAGAGCCUCCCAACCUGACAAGUUAUGAAAGGAAGAAGUUUUUCAGAGACAUACACCAUUACUACUGGGAUGAGCCUUAUCUUUACACUCUCUGUAAAGAUAAGAUCUACAGGAGAUGUGUCUCAGAAGAUGAAGCGGAAGGUAUCCUGCUGCAUUGCCAUGGCUCAGCAUAUGGUGGUCACUUCGCGACGUUCAAGACAGUGUCCAAGAUUCUUCAAGCAGGCUUUUGGUGGCCAACAAUGUUUAAGGAUGCUCAGGAGUUUGUUUCAAAGUGUGAUUCAUGCCAGAGAAAAGGCAACAUCAAUAGAAGAAAUGAGAUGCCUCAGAAUCCAAUCUUGGAAGUUGAGAUCUUUGAUGUAUGGGGGAUUGAUUUUAUGGGUCCAUUCCCAUCUUCAUACGGUAAUAAAUAUAUACUGGUCGCCGUAGACUACGUAUCAAAGUGGGUCGAAGCUAUUGCUAGUCCUACCAACGAUGCAAAAGUUGUGCUGAAGUUGUUCAAAACCAUAAUCUUCCCAAGAUUUGGAGUUCCCAGGGUAGUAAUCAGUGAUGGCGGAAAGCAUUUCAUCAACAAGGUUUUUGAGAACCUCUUGAAGAAGCAUGGGGUAAAGCAGGUUGAGAUCUCCAAUAGGGAGAUAAAAACAAUUCUGGAAAAGACUGUUGGGAUUACAAGGAAAGACUGGUCUGCAAAGCUAGAUGAUGCAUUAUGGGCUUACAGGACAGCUUUCAAGACCCCCAUAGGUACAACUCCUUUCAAUCUUCUCUAUGGAAAAUUAUGUCAUCUACCCGUUGAGCUCGAGUACAAAGCAAUGUGGGCGGUAAAACUUCUGAACUUUGACAUAAAAACUGCUGAGGAGAAGCGAUUGAUCCAACUCAGUGACCUCGAUGAGAUCCGUCUAGAAGCUUAUGAAAGUUCUAAAAUCUACAAGGAGAGAACCAAGCUUUUCCAUGACAAGAAGAUCAUCACUAAGGAUUUCCAGGUUGGUGAUCAGGUGCUGCUAUUCAACUCUCGCUUGAAACUCUUUCCAGGAAAACUUAAAUCCAGAUGGUCUGGCCCCUUCUGCAUCACUGAGGUCCGUCCUUAUGGAGCAGUCACUCUAGCUGGUAAGAGUGGAGAUUUUACAGUAAAUGGUCAAAGGCUCAAGAAAUACUUAGCGGACCAAAUCCUUCCAGAGGUGACAUCGGUUCAUCUCCAGGAGCUUCUUGAUGAUUAAAGGAGUAAAGGAGUCAAGCUAAUGACUUUAAACAAGCUCACUUGGGAGGAAGUCCCAUGACUAUCCUUGUAAAUAAUUUUUACCUUCUUGAUAUUUUUGAUUUGUUUUAGUUGUGUUUGUGGUUUUCAGAGACAAGAGAACAACGCGGAGAUAGAGUAAAAAUUUAAAACUUUUACUCUGUCGAAGACCUGGAGAUCGAGUGUACAGCCCGUUGGAGUACAAAAUUUUGAAAAUUUUCUGUUGCACCUGAGACCCUGCACUCGUGUACAUUGGUCGAGCAUAUGUGAUGUUUAAAACCCAAAAAU